rnacentral:rRNA from 1 species
UACGUAGGGUGCAAGCGUUAAUCGGAAUUACUGGGCGUAAAGCGUGCGCAGGCGGCUUUGCAAGACAGAUGUGAAAUCCCCGGGCUCAACCUGGGAACUGCAUUUGUGACUGCAAAGCUAGAGUACGGCAGAGGGGGAUGGAAUUCCGCGUGUAGCAGUGAAAUGCGUAGAUAUGCGGAGGAACACCAGUGGCGAAGGCGAGUCCCUGGACAACACCUGACACUGAGGCACGAAAGCCGGGGGAGCAAACAGG